GACGAACGCUGGCGGCGUGCCUAAUACAUGCAAGUUGAGCGAUGAAGCUUGGUGCUUGCACCAAUUUGAAGAGCAGCGAACGGGUGAGUAACGCGUGGGGAAUCUGCCUUUGAGCGGGGGACAACAUUUGGAAACGAAUGCUAAUACCGCAUAACAACUUUAAACAUAAGUUUUAAGUUUGAAAGAUGCAAUUGCAUCACUCAAAGAUGAUCCCGCGUUGUAUUAGCUAGUUGGUGAGGUAAAGGCUCACCAAGGCGAUGAUACAUAGCCGACCUGAGAGGGUGAUCGGCCACAUUGGGACUGAGACACGGCCCAAACUCCUACGGGAGGCAGCAGUAGGGAAUCUUCGGCAAUGGACGAAAGUCUGACCGAGCAACGCCGCGUGAGUGAAGAAGGUUUUCGGAUCGUAAAACUCUGUUGGUAGAGAAGAACGUUAGUGAGAGUGGAAAGCUCAUCAAGUGACGGUAACUACCCAGAAAGGGACGGCUAACUACGU
rnacentral:rRNA from 1 species